GAUGAACGCUAGCGGCAGGCCUAAUACAUGCAAGUCGAACGAGAUUAAGAGGCUUGCUUCUUAUGAAAGUGGCGCACGGGUGCGUAACGCGUAUGCAACCUACCUUAAUCAGGGGGAUAGCCCGAAGAAAUUCGGAUUAAGACCGCAUAAAACCACAGGAUAGCAUUAUCCAAUGUUCAAAUAUUUAUAGGAUUAAGAUGGGCAUGCGUGUCAUUAGCUAGUUGGCGGGGUAACGGCCCACCAAGGCGACGAUGACUAGGGGAUCUGAGAGGAUGACCCCCCACACUGGUACUGAGACACGGACCAGACUCCUACGGGAGGCAGCAGUAAGGAAUAUUGGUCAAUGGAGGGAACUCUGAACCAGCCAUGCCGCGUGCAGGAAGACAGCCCUCUGGGUCGUAAACUGCUUUUAUUCGGGAAUAAACCUUUCUACGUGUAGGAAGCUGAAUGUACCGAAGGAAUAAGGAUCGGCUAACUCCGUG
rnacentral:rRNA from 1 species